AACGAACGCUGGCGGCAGGCUUAACACAUGCAAGUCGAGCGCCCCGCAAGGGGAGCGGCAGACGGGUGAGUAACGCGUGGGAAUCUACCGUGCCCUGCGGAAUAGCUCCGGGAAACUGGAAUUAAUACCGCAUACGCCCUACGGGGGAAAGAUUUAUCGGGGUAUGAUGAGCCCGCGUUGGAUUAGCUAGUUGGUGGGGUAAAGGCCUACCAAGGCGACGAUCCAUAGCUGGUCUGAGAGGAUGAUCAGCCACAUUGGGACUGAGACACGGCCCAAACUCCUACGGGAGGCAGCAGUGGGGAAUAUUGGACAAUGGGCGCAAGCCUGAUCCAGCCAUGCCGCGUGAGUGAUGAAGGCCCUAGGGUUGUAAAGCUCUUUCAACGGUGAAGAUAAUGACGGUAACCGUAGAAGAAGCCCCGGCUAACUUCGUGCCAGCCGCCGCCGUAACAC
rnacentral:rRNA from 1 species